rnacentral:lncRNA from 1 species
AUAAAGUGGGUCAACGACCUCCCAAAAUGAAAGACUUGACUGAAAGAUUUCUACUAUUAUUCUUUUUCAUUUAAAAAUAUGGAUUUUUUCGAAAAACGAUUGCGACUCAUUGCGGACGAUGAUUCGAAGAUCUCGCUUCAAACGAAAUCCCCACAAGGAUGAUUCAUUUUUCUAUUACGAAGCAAUGACAAAUGUCGUACAUAAAUCCAUGUAUAUAUAUGCAUAUAUAUAUAUAUAUAUAUAUAUAUAUAUAUAUAUAUAUGCAUGCAUGUACUAGCUACAUAUGUAAAUCAGAAAAAAUCCGAAGCUGACUCAGCCGUGAGAUUCAAUUCCUAUUCAUUUACACUCUGAUAUGCGUCACUCAAUUUAUAUCGUUAAAUGAAAAUGAUUUACGCAUCAAAACUCAAUUCUAACUCUUUGUUUUCCAUAAAUUGACAAUUUUCUAUAUAUAUAUCGUAGAAAUAAUAUCAUUUCACAGAACUUGAGAAGUGAGUUUUAUAAAAAUUCCAGGUCGCAAUCUUCAAGGGUCGUUGACCCCUGCUUCAAUAAUUUACAUCAAAACUGGAUUCUACCAUGUUGUUUUACGCGUUUGUAAUUUUGUGUUGAUGCGUUCAAAAUGCAAAAAGUGUUAUAUACUUAUAUAUACAUAUAUUAGUAUCAUAAAGAUUAUAGUAUCUUAUUUAUAUUAUCUCAAAGUCUUACGUUUCUUUUUUUCGGAAAUUCCACUUGCAUCUUCGGGGUCAUUGAUCUUCCUUCAAAAUUUUUGUGUGAUUUUUCAUUUCUUCCGAAAA